UAAAGUGUUUAGAUGGUAUCGAUCGAGAGAUGAAAGACUGAUACCGUAAUAGGAAAACACUAAGACACGAACACUUUGAGAAACACUACAAUGGACCAGAGGAUUGGGAUAAGGUUCUAAACAACCCAACCAAUGAUGUUAACAAGGAGGAGUGGAAGUAGAUCUGUCAGUUAUUUACAAGUCCACAAUUUAUUGCGCGCUCCAUAAAGAAUAAGGAAAAUUGGAAGAAACAAAAGUAUUCUACAACGCAGGGUACAAAAUCGCUGGCGGCCGUCCGUUUUGAAAAAACGAACCCAGACCUCAUUGAGUCAUGGAAGGAUUAUCAUUGGAAGAAAGCAACAAAUGAUUUCGUGAACGAUGAUGCUCGCCAAGAUUAUGUAAGUUUGAAUUAUAUUUUUUUAAUAUUAAUAGAGUUAUAUUUAAUGUUAGUGUCUAACAUUUUUUGAAAACAAGAAAAACUGAAGGCUGAUUUUGAGUUAUAAACUCAGCAAACAUCCACUGAUGCUUCUAAUAAUGAUAGUCCGUCAUCAGUUGAUCAGGUGGAGGUGCUACAAAAAGUAUUAGGCCAAAGGCGUGGACAUGUGCGAGGAGUGGGCCGCAAAUUGAAGGGGUCGGGGUCGGGGUCAUCAUCUACCCAACACUCUCACUUCAGCGAGUCUCAAGUUCCUCCUCAUCAUUCAAGAGAAUAUAUAGAAAAUUUGGAGAAUAAUCUACAGAAAUUGACUGAUCAAGUUAAUUUCUUAACUCAAUUUUUUGUACCUUCAUUUCGUCCACCAAACGUUCAGAUGCCGCCUGUGCCUGAUAGUGACAAUAUUUCUA